rnacentral:rRNA from 1 species
UACGAAGGGGGCUAGCGUUGCCCGGAAUCACUGGGCGUAAAGCGCGUGUAGGCGGAUCGCUAAGUCUGUGGUGAAAGCGCCUGGCUUAACCGGGCGAGGUCCAUGGAAACUAGCGGUCUGGAGGCCGGUAGAGGGGGGUGGAAUUCCGGGUGUAGUGGUGAAAUGCGUAGAGAUCCGGAGGAACACCAGUGGCGAAGGCGGCCCCCUGGGCCGCGCCUGACGCUGAGACGCGAAAGCGCGGGGAGCGAACGGG